rfam:Oryza glaberrima chromosome 1 Oglab01_0226_1, whole genome shotgun sequence.
UUUACGUGUAACCAUAAGUUUUCUGUGUCCAACUUUGAUCGUCCGUCUUAUUUAAAAUUUUUUAUAAUUAGUAUUUUUAUUGUUAUGAGAUGAUAAAAUAUGAAUAGUACUUGAUACGUAAUAUGUUUUUAAAUUUUUCAAAGAAAUUUCAAAUAAGAUGGACGGUCAAAGUUGUGUAUGAAAAAAUCAUGGUUGCAUUUAAA